CAAAUACUCCCUCCGUCCGGAAAUACUUGUCAUCAAAAUGGAUAGAAGCAUAUGUAUCUAGACGUAUUUUAGUUUUAGAUACAUCUCUUUUUAUCCAUUUUGAUGACAAGUAUUUUCGGACGGAGGGAGUAGAAA
rfam:Triticum urartu cultivar G1812 contig295900, whole genome shotgun sequence.